UUCAACUUAAAUAUGUAUACUUUAUCUUCGAGCUCUAUUGCAUGUGAUGUUGUAAUAUCACGGACCUGUACGCAUUACAACAGUGAACGAUACGUGAUUACUGAUCCAGCUCUUGAACAUAUUUAUAUUAUUUGUGGACGAACAAACGAGACGAUUAACUCAUCCUAUCUUCUUUGAUUGCAGGUUAUGUUGCUGUUCCUAUCUCCUUUAUUCCGCUGUAUUCGGGAUUAAUUCAAAAAAGAAUCUUGUGCAAUAGUCCAUCAUAUCACUAUCAAUAAUCACAUAUCACACUAUUAUGAAAUCCAUUCAUCAUCGAGCAUCUUUUGUUCAUGAGUUUCAGGUUUUAGCUACCUUCAACAUGAUCUUACCGGGGAAAUCUCUCUUGCGGCGGGUGGGUAUAGCGCAAUAUUGCGAGGACAGGUAUUUCACCAUAUAUCACAAUUUUUAGAGCAUAAGUGGGUUACCGUUGGGGUUUUUUCAAUAAAGUUUUCAUACAACAAACUAA